rnacentral:rRNA from 1 species
GAAGCUUGCUUCUAAAUGACCUAGCGGCGGACGGGUGAGUAACACGUAGGCAACCUGCCCACAAGACAGGGAUAACUACCGGAAACGGUAGCUAAUACCCGAUACAUCCUUUUCCUGCAUGGGAGAAGGAGGAAAGACGGAGCAAUCUGUCACUUGUGGAUGGGCCUGCGGCGCAUUAGCUAGUUGGUGGGGUAAAGGCCUACCAAGGCGACGAUGCGUAGCCGACCUGAGAGGGUGAUCGGCCACACUGGGACUGAGACACGGCCCAGACUCCUACGGGAGGCAGCAGUAGGGAAUCUUCCGCAAUGGGCGAAAGCCUGACGGAGCAACGCCGCGUGAGUGAUGAAGGUUUUCGGAUCGUAAAGCUCUGUUGCCAGGGAAGAACGCUUGGGAGAGUAACUGCUCUCAAGGUGACGGUACCUGAGAAGAAAGCCCCGGCUAACUACGUGCCAGCAGCCGCGGUAAUACGUAGGGGGCAAGCGUUGUCCGGAAUUAUUGGGCGUAAAGCGCGCGCAGGCGGCUCUUUAAGUCUGGUGUUUAAUCCCGAGGCUCAACUUCGGGUCGCACUGGAAACUGGAGAGCUUGAGUGCAAAAGAGGAGAGUGGAAUUCCACGUGUAGCGGUGAAAUG